GUGGUGAAAAUGGUUAAUAUGCUUGGCUGCAAACCAAAAGGUUGGUGGUUUGAGUCCAUCC
rnacentral:tRNA from 1 species